rnacentral:rRNA from 1 species
UGGCCGAAAACAAAGUGCAGCGAAUCCGCGAGGAGGAGCGAAUCACAAAACUCGGUCCCAGUUCAGAUUGCAGGCUGCAACUCGCCUGCAUGAAGUUGGAAUUGCUAGUAAUCGCGAAUCAGAAUGUCGCGGUGAAUACGUUCCCGGGCCUUGUACACACCGCCCGUCAAGCCAUGGGAGCCGGGGGCGCCUGAAGUCCGGGACCGCGAGGACCGGCCUAGGGCGAAACUGGUAACUGGGGCUAAGUCGUAACAAGGUACC